rnacentral:rRNA from 1 species
GAUGAACGCUGGCGGCGUGCCUAAUACAUGCAAGUCGAGCGAACGGACGAGAAGCUUGCUUUUCUGAUGUUAGCGGCGGACGGGUGUGUCACACGUGGAUAACCUACCUAUAAGACUGGUAUCACUUCGGGAAACCGGAGCUAAUACCGGAUAAUAUUUUGAACCGCAUGGUUCAAAAGAGAAAGUCGGUCUUGCUGUCACUUAUAGAUGGAUCCGCGCUGCAUUAGCUAGUUGGUAAGUUAACGGCUUACCAAGGCAACGAUGCAUAGCCGACGUGCGAGGGUGAUCGCCCACACUGGAACUGAAACACGGUCCAUACUCCUACGGGAGGGAGCAGUAGGGAAUCUUCCGCAAUGGGCGAAAGCCUGACGGAGCGACGCCACGUGAGUGAUGAAGGUCUUCGGAUCGUAAAACUCUGUUAUUAGGGAAGAACAUAUGUGUAAGUAACUGUGCACAUCUUGACGGUACCUAAUCAGAAAGCCACGGCUAACUACGUG